rnacentral:rRNA from 1 species
GAAUAUUGGUCAAUGGGCGCAGGCCUGAACCAGCCAAGUAGCGUGAAGGAUGACUGCCCUAUGGGUUGUAAACUUCUUUUAUACGGGAAUAAAGUGAGCCACGUGUGGCUUUUUGUAUGUACCGUAUGAAUAAGGAUCGGCUAACUCCGUGCCAGCAGCCGCGGUAAUACGGAGGAUCCGAGCGUUAUCCGGAUUUAUUGGGUUUAAAGGGAGCGUAGGCGGGUUGUUAAGUCAGUUGUGAAAGUUUGCGGCUCAACCGUAAAAUUGCAGUUGAUACUGGCGACCUUGAGUGCAACAGAGGUAGGCGGAAUUCGUGGUGUAGCGGUGAAAUGCUUAGAUAUCACGAAGAACUCCGAUUGCGAAGGCAGCUUACUGGAUUGUAACUGACGCUGAUGCUCGAAAGUGUGGGUAUCAAACAGGAUUAGAUACCCUGGUAGUCCACACAGUAAACGAUGAAUACUCGCUGUUGGCGAUAUACGGUCAGCGGCCAAGCGAAAGCAUUAAGUAUUCCACCUGGGGAGUACGCCGGCAACGGUGAAACUCAAAGGAAUUGACGGGGGCCCGCACAAGCGGAGGAACAUGUGGUUUAAUUCGAUGAUACGCGAGGAACCUUACCCGGGCUUAAAUUGCAACUGACUGAACCGGAAACGGUUCUUUCUUCGGACAGUUGUGAAGGUGCUGCAUGGUUGUCGUCAGCUCGUGCCGUGAGGUGUCGGCUUAAGUGCCAUAACGAGCGCAACCCUUAUCGAUAGUUACUAGCAGGUCAUGCUGAGGACUCUAUUGAGACUGCCGUCGUAAGAUGUGAGGAAGGUGGGGAUGACGUCAAAUCAGCACGGCCCUUACGUCCGGGGCUACACACGUGUUACAAUGGGGGGUACAGAAGGCAGCUACACGGCGACGUGGUGCUAAUCCCGAAAGCCUCUCUCAGUUCGGAUUGGAGUCUGCAACCCGACUCCAUGAAGCUGGAUUCGCUAGUAAUCGCGCAUCAGCCACGGCGCGGUGAAUACGUUCCCG